CGGAGCAUAGCUCAACAGGACAGAGCAUUCGCCUUCUAAGCGAACGGUUGUGGGUUCGACUCCCGCUGUUCCGG
rnacentral:tRNA from 1 species